UUAGUAAGUGAUUUAACUGUGAUUUGUAAU
rnacentral:guide_RNA from 1 species